rnacentral:rRNA from 1 species
UUAUCCUUUGCAGACGACUUGAAUAGAACGGAGUGCUGUAAGCAGUAGAGUAGCCUUGUUGCUACGAUCUGCUGAGGCUCAGCUCUUGUUCUACAGAUUUGU